GUGAGUCAUCGAAUCUUUGAACGCACAUUGCGCCCUCUGGUAUUCCGGAGGGCAUGCCUGUUCGAGCGUCAUUUCAACCCUCAAGCCUGGCUUGGUGAUGGGGCACUGCCUGUGAAAGGGCAGGCCCUGAAAUCUAGUGGCGAGCUCGCCAGGACCCCGAGCGCAGUAGUUAUAUCUCGUUCUGGAAGGCCCUGGCGUUGCACUGCCGUUAAACCCCCAACUUCUGAAAAUUUGACCUCGGAUCAGGUAGGAAUACCCGCUGAACUUAAGCAUAUCAAUAAGCGGAGGA
rnacentral:misc_RNA from 1 species